AUAAUUUUCUCUCUUGAUAUGAGAAGAUAAAACCAAACAUUCUCCCUCAAACUCUAAAACGAAGUUCCCCUACUAUCAAAAUCACCAGAGCCUAAUUUCUUCAUCUUCUUGUCUUCUCUUGGAUUGUGUAUGCAUUGAUACUUAUAAAGCCGCUAUCGAGGAGCAUCAAACUUCUAUAGCAGGCAAGAUUAAUUCUGAAGACUGAUAAUACACCGGCUACCUGCAGGUGGUAAAGGAUCAAAUUAAUCAUUGUUUGAGUCGUCAAUUCGUGUUUGACGAUGAGAGUGAAAAAAGCUAUGCUGGUGCAUUUACCAUUUUGGAAGCGCUUAACUUUUUACGAGCUAGAGGAGCCUCAACAGAUCCUACACGAGUAGUUGCUCCUGUUUCUCCUUUUGAGUACCAGGUUUGUGAUUAUGUGGUCAAAAUUGCUGCUUAUAGUCUAAGUAACAAACACAAGAGAGUAUCAAUGAGUUCUUGAAGAGCUGUGAGAAGUACAACUUGCAAAAGCAGAGAAGCUCAACAUUGUUAAAAGUUAAAACAUUAGGCCGUCAACUCAAGUGGAAAUUGACCCGAUUAUUAAAGAGUGUCAGAAAUGCUUGGCAGAUGAAGAAGUUGAGGAGUUGGUGGAGCUGAUAUCAAAUUUAUUGUGUCCACUAAAUCCUGAAGGUAUAGAUGAGGGUAAAGGAAUUCUUGAUGGUUUCUGAAUGUAAGGUAAAGAUGAUGUUAAAGGAGCUCCAGAUGAGGAAGGUACAGCAGGAUUUUUUGACGGCUUUCUACUGAAAGAUACAGAUGCGGAUAUAGAACUAUAAUUCUCUAUCAACUUUAUGGGAACUGUAAACAAUCAACCAACUGCUAUCUUUCUCAACCUUUUCAUGUCAGCUGUCUUGGUAUUAAGAGGUUUUUUACCUUGGCAAAGCUAAAACCCGUUGGUCGGAAUCGGGUUACAGAGUUUCAUCUAAUACGCGGUUGAAAGCUUUUGAGUUUGUUGACACUGGUGAAUUCUGAAUUUAUUCAACUCAUGGAUGAUGGAGAGUUAGAUUUCUCUUAACCAAAUCUAGCCAACGUGCUCCUGCAAGUAUAGUGAGUGAAAAAAAGCCUGUCAAGCUUCAGUAGAGAUGGAUUUAUGAACUUGAGAAUCAUAAACCAGUAGUUGUUAAAAAGUUUGCGGGGUCAAGUUGCUGUUGAGCAAGAGUUAGCUAGAUAUAAGUGUCUGCUUGUGGACAUUAGCGGAAGUAUCAAAGGAGAAGUUGGAUCAGUUCAUUAUGAAUCUUCACAGAUGUAGGAUCAGAA